rnacentral:rRNA from 1 species
AGUGAACGCUGGCGGUAGGCCUAACACAUGCAAGUCGAACGGCAGCACAGUAAGAGCUUGCUCUUACGGGUGGCGAGUGGCGGACGGGUGAGGAAUACAUCGGAAUCUACUUUUUCGUGGGGGAUAACGUAGGGAAACUUACGCUAAUACCGCAUACGACCUACGGGUGAAAGCAGGGGAUCUUCAGACCUUGCGCGAUUGAAUGAGCCGAUGUCGGAUUAGCUAGUUGGCGGGGUAAAGGCCCACCAAGGCGACGAUCCGUAGCUGGUCUGAGAGGAUGCUCAGCCACACUGGAACUGAGACACGGUCCAGACUCCUACGGGAGGCAGCAGUGGGGAAUAUUGGACAAUGGGCGCAAGCCUGAUCCAGCCAUACCGCGUGGGUGAAGAAGGCCUUCGGGUUGUAAAGCCCUUUUGUUGGGAAAGAAAAGCAGCAGGUUAAUACCCCGCUGUUCUGACGGUACCCAAAGAAUAAGCACCGGCUAACUUCGUG